AUACGUAGGGUGCGAGCGUUGCCCGGAAUUACUGGGCGUAAAGAGCUCGUAGGUGGGUUGUCGCGUCGUCUGUGAAAUUCCGGGGCUUAACUCCGGGCGUGCAGGCGAUACGGGCAUAACUUGAGUACUGUAGGGGAGACUGGAAUUCCUGGUGUAGCGGUGAAAUGCGCAGAUAUCAGGAGGAACACCGGUGGCGAAGGCGGGUCUCUGGGCAGUAACGGACGCUGAGGAGCGAAAGCAGGGGUAGCGAACAGGAUUAGAUACCCUGGUAGUCCAUGCCGUAAACGGUGGGCGCUAGGUGUAGGGGUCUUCCACGACUUCUGUGCCGUAGCUAAAGCAUUAAGCGCCCCGCCUGGGGAGUACGGCCGCAAGGCUAAAACUCAAAUGAAUUGACGGGG
rnacentral:rRNA from 1 species